rnacentral:rRNA from 1 species
CGCGUAGGCGGCCGGUUGCGUCGGAUGUGAAAGCCCGGGGCUCAACCCCGGAACGGCAUCCGAUACGGGCUGGCUCGAGACCGAGAGAGGUGAGUGGAAUACCCAGUGUAGAGGUGAAAUUCGUAGAUAUUGGGUGGAACACCGGUGGCGAAAGCGGCUCACUGGCUCGGUUCUGACGCUGAGGCGCGAAAGCGUGGGAGCAAACA